AGACCCGAAACCCGGUGAUCUAGCCAUGGGCAGGUUGAAGGUUGGGUAACACUAACUGGAGGACCGAACCGACUAAUGUUGAAAAAUUAGCGGAUGACCUGUGGCUGGGGGUGAAAGGCCAAUCAAACCGGGAGAUAGCUGGUUCUCCCCGAAAGCUAUUUAGGUAGCGCCUCGUGAAUUCAUCUCCGGGGGUAGAGCACUGUUUCGGCUAGGGGGCCAUCCCGGCUUACCAACCCGAUGCAAACUGCGAAUACCGGAGAAUGUUAUCACGGGAGACACACGGCGGGUGCUAACGUCCGUCGUGAAGAGGGAAACAACCCAGACCGCCAGCUAAGGUCCCAAAGUCAUGGUUAAGUGGGAAACGAUGUGGGAAGGCCCAGACAGCCAGGAUGUUGGCUUAGAAGCAGCCAUCAUUUAAAGAAAGCGUAAUAGCUCACUGGUCGAGUCGGCCUGCGCGGAAGAUGUAACGGGGCUAAACCAUGCACCGAAGCUGCGGCAGCGAACGUAUCACCCAAGACAACUUUACGGAGUUGACGAUUGACGGAGCGAAGCGACGUCAAAGCGUUCAUUAAAGUCGAGUUGGCUUAGGGAUACGUUCGUUGGGUAGGGGAGCGUUCUGUAAGCCUGUGAAGGUGUGUCGUGAGGCAUGCUGGAGGUAUCAGAAGUGCGAAUGCUGACAUAAGUAACGAUAAAGCGGGUGAAAAGCCCGCUCGCCGGAAGACCAAGGGUUCCUGUCCAACGUUAAUCGGGGCAGGGUGAGUCGACCCCUAAGGCGAGGCCGAAAGGCGUAGUCGAUGGGAAACGGGUUAAUAUUCCCGUACUUGGUGUUACUGCGAAGGGGGGACGGAGAAGGCU
rnacentral:rRNA from 3 species